UACGUAGGGGGCGAGCGUUAUCCGGAUUUACUGGGUGUAAAGGGAGCGUAGACGGCGGCGCAAGUCUGAAGUGAAAGCCCGUGGCUCAACCGCGGAACCGCUUUGGAAACUGCGCGGCUGGAGUGCUGGAGAGGUAAGCGGAAUUCCUGGUGUAGCGGUGAAAUGCGUAGAUAUCAGGAGGAACACCGGUGGCGAAGGCGGCUUACUGGACAGUGACUGACGUUGAGGCUCGAAAGCGUGGGGAGCGAACAGG
rnacentral:rRNA from 1 species